rnacentral:rRNA from 1 species
UAAUUAGUUAGUAUAGUAGAGUAUGGGUGACCUCCCGGGAAGUCCUCGUGUUGCAUCCCUCUUUUUUUUUAAUUUGUUUUUUUUGGUUAAAACUUUAUGACUCUAUAACUUUUAUACCGUGAGGCCAAACUAGGCAUGUGAUACCUUUUCGGAAAUCCCAAAGAGAACCCUCCGACGAAAGAAACAGGACAAACGAAC